AUUUUCAAAUUUGAAUGUCUGUUUUUAUUUUUCAAUUUAUAGUGCACUGUUAUUAAAGUCUUUUUGGUGUUGUUAUCUCAGCAUGAGUUUGCUGUCAUCAAAUCACAUCAUAUUUAGAGAUGAAUUAUACUGAAAUGGAAAACUUUAAGAAGAGCAGUUUCAUAAAAUAGACAAAACAAUAUUCUUAGGUAGUCAACCAGAAAGGAUUUAUUGACAACCAAAAGUCUAACUUCAAAUUAGUUCAAAUAAAAAUUAUGAACUGCUAGCUAAGAUCAUAGAGGAACAGCCUACCAGGAAAAUGACACUCACCAAGCUCCUUCUUCUGGUCCAGUCUAAGAUUUAUAAGCUUUUAAAACAUUAAAGAGAUGGUAAAGAAGAGAAAACAAAUCCAAAUAUUACUCAGUGCUCUGUGUGAGCUGAAACAACUUUCCUUAGGAAUAAACUCAAUGUCUUUCAAGUGUAUUAAGUUAACACUAGUAUAAAAUAUGUAUCUUCUUAGUUGUUUACUGAAAUACAUUUGUGUGUUUGAAUAUGUUGAUGUGAUCUUUAAGUUGAGGUUAUGCUAAAACACUUUUUUUGUGUGUAAAAUUUAACAUUAUUUGCAUGUGUUCCUCCAACAGCUUUAUACCCUAAAUAUUUAGCAUUAUCAUAAGAUAAUAGCCAAAGAUUAUGAAUGUAGUAUUUAACUGUUUUAUUUUGUUACAGAUAGUGAAUAUUUUGAUUAGUUUUUAAUUUCGCAUGCUUCUUCUGUUUAUGUACUUUUGUAUUUCAAACAUUGAUUUGUCUUAUUGAUUGCUGUCCUGUAAGUGUUGAUGACUAUGGAAAAAUAUUUAAUUGUUCACAAAUGUAUAUCUGAAGAAACAGAGGGAGGAAGAAUGAGAUAGUAUA